rnacentral:rRNA from 1 species
UACGUAGGGUGCGAGCGUUAAUCGGAAUUACUGGGCGUAAAGUGUGCGCAGGCGGCGUCGCAAGUCGAGUGUGAAAGCCCCGGGCUUAACUUGGGAAUUGCGCUCGAAACUACGAUGCUGGAGUGCGGCAGAGGAAGGUGGAAUUCCACGUGUAGCGGUGAAAUGCGUAGAGAUGUGGAGGAACACCAAUGGCGAAGGCAGCCUUCUGGGCCAACACUGACGCUCAUGCACGAAAGCGUGGGGAGCAAACAGG